rnacentral:lncRNA from 1 species
GGCUCGCGUGCGUUUGCGAAACGCCGACUUUCGAGUUUGCAGUUUCAGUGGCUGCAGCAGCGCGCGGGGAAGUACAUCGCGUCCUCGGUGAGCGAGUACCUGCGGCUUUAAUCGUGCACGGAAAAGCUCUUUUCGUGUUCCGAGGUUCUGAGCGCUGAAGAGUUUGUCUUGUCGCGCCUCGCCAGCGGCCUUUUUAUCUGGCAGCGAACACGGCACGGUUGCGUAACUUGCGGGCUUUUGACCCUGUUACCUGGGUUUGGGCUCUUUUCUCUGGGCUGAGCAAGGAAAAAGACCACGGGCGCGUAGGGAUGAUUGGAUGGUGUUGUGGGCAGCUUGUGGCUACGUCGUGGCCGCCGUGGGGCGUAACAAUACAUACGAGGUAUUGAAGCUGUGACAUUAUCUUCUGCUGAAAAAUGGAAGAGAAACUGGAAAAGUAAACAAACUGGGACAAGCAGAGAAACGACAACCUUGUUCCGUUGAAGACUCUCCCUGCAGGAAGGUGCUCAAGGAGCUGGGUGAAGCUGCACAGCUGAUCAGCUACAUCCACAGCCUCAGCAGGGGCUGCCAGCCUCCUCACUGAGGACCUGCAGGCGGUGCUCUCCAGUCUGCCACACCCUUAGCUGUAACCCGGCCCAGAAGCAUGGCCCGCCAGAGCCGGAGACCGUCACAGUUCUGCACCAAAUGAGAGACUCUUCCUUGUUUCCCUGCCUGGAGGACGAGCAUGUUUUCUAGUUCCCCCAGAACCAGCUGGACAGCAGCCGGUUCCCAAGCGCUCAG